CAAAAGAUCCCUGUAUUUUGAGUGCCCAAGGCAGUUGAGGUUUUUUUGAGUUCUGUCAUAAGCCAAAUUCCACUUUGUCAUUCUCCUAUUUUUCUUUUCUUUUUUUUUUCUUUUUUUGAUGUAGGGUGUCCUGACUUUCAAGAUGAAAAUGGUGCAGAAUUCCUCCCUGCUGCUUCCAGAUCAUUUUCCUUCCCCCUUAUCUAAAGCCCAGCUGCAUUAUAGGCUUCCCUUAGCCUGAUUUUAAAUUCCUCCCAUGUGAUCAUGCAUCUGUCUCUACCUGUAUUUUGUAUCUGGCUUCUGCCUCUCACCCAUCGGUCCCAUGGCUACUAGAAGAUAAUUUAACAUGUUCCCAGUUUCUGGGAAUUAGACACGGACAUCUUUGAGAGGUUGUCAUGCUGCCUGCCACACUUGCUACCUGGUUACAGGGAGUGAGGCCCUGGUCUGGAAUAUUCCACAUCUGCUCUCACACUGCCAUGGGCUGCUGGACCCUCUGCUGUGUGUCCCUUUGUAUCCUGGUAGCAAAGCACACAGAUGCUGGAGUUAUCCAGUCACCCCGGCACGAGGUGACAGAGAUGGGAAAAGAAGUGACUCUGAGAUGUAAACCAAUUUCAGGACACGACUACCUUUUCUGGUACAGACAGACCACGAUGCAGGGACUGGAGUUGCUGAUUUACUUUAACAACAAGGCUGUGAUGGAUGAUUCAGGGAUGCCCAAGGAUCGAUUCUCAGCCAAGAUGCCUAAUGCAUCAUUCUCCACUCUGAAGAUCCAGCCCUCAGAACCCAGGGAUUCAGCUGUGUACUUCUGUGCCAGCAGUUUAGCCACAGCGCUGCAGAAUCGCCCCUUUCCUGUGCAGAAACCCUAGUGUUUCCCCUUCUCCUUCUACCUCCCAGGAGUCCAGGGCAAAGUCUUUCCUGUUCCUCCUUCCCCAUGAGAAAAAAGUGGUUUUGGGUUGUGAUAAAGAUAGAAAAUGAGAAGGUAUCAACAUAGGAAACCUUAUGUUGAUUUGAGGAUUACGAAAUGGGUUUUGAGGAUUCCUCAAAAAUUGUCUCUGCUCAAAACACAUAGGAGUAAGAUAAACCUUGGCUACCCACGCUGGAGAUUUCCCUGCCCUCCUGCAUUUGCCAUCCCAUGAGAAUGGUGGGACCUCCCGAGAAAGUCUGCAUUUUCUGAACUAUGAGACCCUCUUCAUUCUCUCCUAACUCUAAGUUGCAAACAGAAAUUUCCCUCACAUGUUUUCUAGAUUGUAAAAGAAAGUUCUUUACU